CAGUAGCCGCGGGAAAACGAAGGGGGCUAGCGUUGUUCGGAUUAACUGGGCGUAAAGGGCGCGUAGGCGGGUUUUUAAGUCAGAGGUGAAAUCCCAAGGCUCAACCUUGGAACUGCCUUUGAUACUGGAAGUCUUGUGUCCGGGAGAGGUGAGUGGAACUGCGAGAGUAGAGGUGAAAUUCGUAGAUAUUCGCAAGAACACCAGUGGCGAAGGCGGCUCACUGGCCCGGUACUGACGCUGAGGCGCGAAAGCGUGGGGAGCAAACAGGAUUAGAGACCCGUGUAGUCCCUGUCUCUUAUAC
rnacentral:rRNA from 1 species